UACGUAGGGGGCUAGCGUUGUCCGGAUUUAUUGGGCGUAAAGAGCGUGUAGGCGGCCAGAUAGGUCUGCUGUGAAAACUCGAGGCUCAACCUCGAGAUGUCGGCGGAAACCAUUUGGCUAGAGUCCGGAAGAGGAAAGUGGAAUUCCUGGUGUAGCGGUGAAAUGCGCAGAUAUCAGGAAGAACACCCUGGCGAAGGCGGCUUUCUGGGACGGUACUGACGCUGAGGCGCGAAAGCGUGGGGGAGCGAACAGG
rnacentral:rRNA from 1 species